rnacentral:rRNA from 1 species
GACGAACGCUGGCGGCGUGCUUAACACAUGCAAGUCGAACGGAAAGGCCCUGCUUUUGUGGGGUGCUCGAGUGGCGAACGGGUGAGUAACACGUGAGUAACCUGCCCUUGACUUUGGGAUAACUUCAGGAAACUGGGGCUAAUACCGGAUAGGAGCUCCUGCUGCAUGGUGGGGGUUGGAAAGUUUCGGCGGUUGGGGAUGGACUCGCGGCUUAUCAGCUUGUUGGUGGGGUAGUGGCUUACCAAGGCUUUGACGGGUAGCCGGCCUGAGAGGGUGACCGGCCACAUGGGGACUGAGAUACGGCCCAGACUCCUACGGGAGGCAGCAGUGGGGAAUAUUGCACAAUGGGCGGAAGCCUGAUGCAGCGACGCCGCGUGCGGGAUGACGGCCUUCGGGUUGUAAACCGCUUUCGCCUGUGACGAAGCGUGAGUGACGGUAAUGGGUAAAGAAGCACCGGCUAACUACGUG